ensembl:lncRNA
UUUGGGUUGAUUCGCCGCAGUGUUUUAGUGUAAAAGGCUGUAGUUUCUGUAUGUAGACUUUUUUUCCCUUCAAGUGUUCAGAAGUCUCGCGCUGUCAGGCUGCAGCAAAUAUUUCAUUUUAACAUGUUAACAGCUCACAAACAUCUGAAUUUAGCUCUUGGUGUGUUCUAAUUGGCGGAUUGUGUGCAAUCGCCGUAAUAUUUUAUUUUUAAAAGGUCUUAAACAAGAAUAAACUCGUUUGUUGUGAGCUCGUUGAGACUGCACGCGCUGUUCGGAGCGGUGACAUAUCUCUCGUCUAUCUCUCUGUUCUCUGUCGCCAGACAUCAAUUAUUAAUAAGCCCUGACCCGCUAAUAAUAAGAUAUGUUGGUUUAGCUUGUCAGUGUGAAUCAAAUGUAUUUAUUUAUUUGUAUUUUUAACCGAUUUAAAAGUGAAACUAAGCGAGACUCCUCCCUCUCAGUCCCGGGAAUUGCUCCUGUAGAGGCGCAUUUUCUCUCAGACAAUGAAAGUCUCAGCACACAUACACUCCUCACACAGAGCCAAAAAUCCAUAUUCAAAUCAAAAUAGCCGACUUCCUGUUGGUCGUAGCUAAUGACUGUAAAUUAGAAAGUUGUCCGUCUUAAUAAGAACAAUAUAUGUACCGAGUUUGGUGUCUGUAGCUAAAACUAAGCCCCCCACUUUUGACAAAAGGUGGCGCUAUAGAGUGCCUCCUCCACGCCCA